rnacentral:rRNA from 1 species
AGUGAACGCUGGCGGUAGGCCUAACACAUGCAAGUCGAACGGCAGCACAGUAAGAGCUUGCUCUUACGGGUGGCGAGUGGCGGACGGGUGAGGAAUACAUCGGAAUCUACUUUUUCGUGGGGGAUAACGUAGGGAAACUGACGCUAAUACCGCAUACGACCUACGGGUGAAAGCAGGGGAUCUUCGGACCUUGCGCGAUUGAAUGAGCCGGUGUCGGAUUAGCUAGUUGGCGUGGUAACGGCCCACCAAGGCGACGAUCCGUAGCUGGUCUGAGAGGAUGAUCAGCCACACUGGAACUGAGACACGGUCCAGACUCCUACGGGAGGCAGCAGUGGGGAAUAUUGGACAAUGGGCGCAAGCCUGAUCCAGCCAUACCGCGUGGGUGAAGAAGGCCUUCGGGUUGUAAAGCCCUUUUGUUGGGAAAGAAAAGCAGCAGGUUAAUACCCCGCUGUUCUGACGGUACCCAAAGAAUAAGCACCGGCUAACUUCGUG